AAUAAUAAUAAUAAUAAUAAUCAACAAGCUUUAAGCAAGCUCAAUCAAUUAGAAAAGAUGCAAGCUCAAUCAUCUAUUGAAAAGUUAAAAGAAUCUAACCCAACCGAAAGAAACAAACAGAAACAAUCAGUGUAAACUAAAAAGGCAAGAGAGAAAACCGGAAAAGAAGAAGAAGCAAAAUGAGUACCGUCAUCUUCAGUAGCGGUAUUAGUUGAAGAAUUAACAGAGCCAUUAAAGCCACCGCCACCGCCACCAUCUUCAGCUAGAAAAGAGGUUCCAGAAACGAGAUUGCCAAGCCUAGAAGUGGCAGCGGUCAUGAUCGGCCUUAAUCUGGCGGAGUUUGUAGAGUGAUGAGUUCUCAGGCCGCCGGGUGUGAAUCGGCAGAGCUUGAGAGAAGAGAAAGGAGGUGAAGGAGAGAGAGGGAGGAGCGAGAUGAUAGAAAGGCGAUGAUACACUUUGUAAAGGCGCAUCAUUCGAUUGAUGGGCAGCAUCUUUUUCAUCGUUGGAGUUGUGUAAAAGUGUUUGCGACUUGCAGUAGUGGUGAGACUGACACAGAAUAUCCAAUCAAAAUUAAGUGAAG
rnacentral:misc_RNA from 1 species